rnacentral:rRNA from 1 species
UGCCAGCCGCCGCGGUAAUACGGAGGGGGUUAGCGUUGUUCGGAAUUACUGGGCGUAAAGCGCACGUAGGCGGAUUAGUAAGUUAGGGGUGAAAUCCCGGGGCUUAACCCCGGAACUGCCCUCAAAACUGUCGAUCUAGAGACCGGGAGAGGUAAGCGGAAUUCCUAGUGUAGAGGUGAAAUUCGUAGAUAUUAGGAAGAACACCAGUGGCGAAGGCGGCUUACUGGACCGGUACUGACGCUGAGACGCGAAAGCGUGGGGAGCAAACAGGACUAGAUA